UACGUAGGCAGCAAGCGUUGUUCGGAGUUACUGGGCGUAAAGGGUGUGUAGGCGGUUCUUUAAGUUUGGUGUGAAAUCUCCCGGCUUAACCGGGAGGGUGCGCCGAAUACUGAGGGACUAGAGUACGGGAGAGGAAAGUGGAAUUCCUGGUGUAGCGGUGAAAUGCGUAGAUAUCAGGAGGAACACCGGUGGUGUAGACGGCUUUCUGGACCGUAACUGACGCUGAGGAGCGAAAGCAUGGGGAGCGAACAGG
rnacentral:rRNA from 1 species